rnacentral:rRNA from 1 species
AGCUAUAAGUAUUUUAUUUUUAGUUAUUUCUGCCCAAUGAUAAUUUUAAUGGCCGCAGUACUUUGACUGUGCUAAGGUAGCAUAAUAAAUUGACUUUUAAUUGAAGUCUAGAAUGAAAGGGAAUUUGGGAAAAAACUGUCUUUUAAUGGUUUAUUAGAAAUUAUUUAAAAGGUGAAAAUACCUUUGAAAAGAAAAAAGACGAGAAGACCCUAGGAAUUUAUCUAUUUUUUUUGUUGGGGCGACAAAUUAGCAACUAAACCUAUUUAUUAUUUUUAACAUAUCAAAUUUUUUUAUAAAGAAAAAAUUACCCUAGGGAUAACAGCAUUAUUUCAUUGAAGAUUAUGACCUCGAUGUUGGACUAGGAAUUAUAUAAUAAGUAAUUAAAAUAAAAAGUUCUGUUCGAACUGUAGUUUCCU